rnacentral:lncRNA from 1 species
UUUCAGUCUUUCCCCUAAUUCUUGCUCUAUCAGAGGUCGAGGACAACAGUAUAAUGAUUCAUAGGUUCUACUUCCUGGCAAGUAAUCAUUUUCCCACGGGCCCUUGUGAAUUGAUGAAUAUGAAGACACUAAGAAAGCAGAAAUAGAACUGAGAAGAAUGAAAUAACUGUCUCUACCUUUCUCGAAUUGUCUAAUAUGGAAAGAAUGAAAGACAGCUAAUAAGCAACUCUCUGCAAGAAGACAUAUGGCUUAGGUUCUGCUGAGCUAUUGGUGAUUUGAUUCCAUGCAUAUGUAUUCACUACUGGUAUAAGUAUAUACAAUAUAUGUGUUUCUGCAAAGAAUCGUAGACUUGAUGCAUUUUUUAAUAUUUCUUAAGGACUUACUACUGAGUGUCAGUAUGAGAGGAUCGUUUACUUCCUUUUCCCAUUAAUUUUGAUAGCCUGGAUUGAGCAACUUUCUUACCUAGUUUUGUUUUAUGAGGUGCAUUAG